UCCUACUCACAAAUUGGUCCCAAAGAACCGAAGAGACCACCAAGUUAAAGGGUGAGGAGGAUUGAAGUAGAAUGGAGCGAAAGAGCAUGGAAUUUAGAUCGAUGCAGUGACAAUCUAAGGUAAAGCUCGCGACAUUUUUGGGAAGCUCCGACCAACUAAUCUAACAAGUCAUUUAUCCAAGGGAGUGAUAUUUAUUCUUAACGGUAACUUUUUUAGUUGUCCAUAAUCUAUACACAAACUCAUGCUACCAUCCUUUUCUUUAACAAACAAAACUAGUGCAUCCCAAGGAAACACACUCGGCCUAAUAAAUCUUUUAGUUAACAGCACAAGAGAAUCCACCACAGCAACGAAAGAAACGUGUUUCGUAUUCCACUGAUGAACAAAGUUUGAGGGAGGUUUUUGGGAAAUAUGGUGAUGUUGUUGAUGCAAGGAUAAUUGUGUACCGUGAUUUUGGCAGAUCCAGAGGAUUUGGGUUUAUUACUUACAGUUCGGUUGAGGAGGCGUCAUUCAGGCCUUAGAUGGGCAGGAAGACAUGAUGUGAUGAAGAAAAUAUGUUCCAUACAAAUAUCACAUGGGAUGGGUCUUACAAUGACCUUAGUUAUGUAAAUGUAAUAUUUUGAUGUGUUAUGUACUUUUUGAGGUAUUACAUGUAAAUGGAAAAAUUCCACUCUAUUUUGAUU